AGUAAUGUAUGGGGAUCUGCCUGAUGGCAGGGGAUAACUACUGGAAACGGUAGCUAAUACCGCAUAAUGUCUGCGGACCAAAGCGGGGGACCUCCGGGCCUCGCGCCAUCAGAUGAACCCAUAUGGGAUUAGCUUGUAGGUAAGGUAACGGCUUACCUAGGCGACGAUCCCUAGCUGGUCUGAGAGGAUGAUCAGCCACACUGGGACUGAGACACGGUCCAG
rnacentral:rRNA from 1 species